GACCUUGAAUGAAAGAAAGGUAGAUUUUAUUUUUUCUAUUUUACAUUGUACUUUAAUAAAUCCCAUUAAAACAAGGACACACUGUAGAUUAGAAUAAAACACACUCCAUUGUAUGGAAGUUUUUAGUUCCAUCAGACUCGGAAUUUUUUUUCCCCCUGAAUUUUUAUUCUGAAAUUUUUAAACCUCUGAAUUUGUAUUCUGAAUUUUAUUCUUUCACACAUAUACAUGUUAGCUUUAGCUAGUUUAAUUUAUUUUUUUUUACUUGGCAACUGCAUUACAGGUUGUAAAAUAUACAAUUACUGAAUGUGUGGGUUUGCAGAUUAUUCAAGUUGUAUUUCACAAGUUAUAGCAGUGUAUAAGUACCUACCUUUUUCUGAGCAUAAGAAGAUUGUAGAAAAACUAACUAAAUACUGAUUUUAUUUUAUUAUUCAGACUACAAUAGUGUUAAAUGUUUAUUUUGUCUUCUGAAUUCUUCUAUUGCAGAAAUUAAUUUUAACAAUUUUACCCUACUCUUAUAUGAAAUCAGUACAAGUAGUAUUUAAGUAUUUUGUUAUUCUCAUGUUCACCUAAGUAUAAUGAUGUUUUACAGUCUAAGAUCAGAAUACUUAAAACCACACAUGUUUAUGUUUGCUUUAAGUUUUUUAUGUAUUUUUUUUUUUUACUAUAAAUGUAUUUCUUGUGUAUUUCUUUCUAAGCAGACUACACCCUGUAAUGCAGAAUCAACCUGAGUCUCCUGGAGCGGUUUAUUAACAGUGAAGAUCCAGGACCAGAAUCAGAGUGAACAGGAACUCUCCUGCAGUCCUCCUGAACCUCCAUUGGUGACGUCUGUGGGGUGAUGUAACUGAGAUCCUGGUGUUUCUCUUCUGGUUGGCGAGCGGAGUAUCCUACAGGAUGAUCUCAAGAGUGUUUGGAUCUCUCGUUCCACUGUCCACUGCAUCAUCCACAGUCACUGAGGAGGUGGUGGCCAUUCGCCAUAAGGACCUUCACCUUCCAAAAACCCCUGAGGACCUGGAGGUGGAGUCCCGUGGGUUUGCAGGGCUGGCACAGCACAGAGUUUUUCCUUAAAGCUGCAGGUGCCAUCGAUGGAUGCCACAUCAGGAUCAAACCUCCUGGUGACCCUGGCAUCAUUCCAAAAGCGCCCUUGAUUAUAGAGCGUGCUUUGGAAUGAUGAAGACAAGAUUCAGAGGCAUCUUCCUGCAAGUGCUGGAGGUUGUCUCAGCUUGGGCCAUCCUCCACAAUAUCUGCUCCUGUGCUGACGACACCGAGGCCCCAGAGGAUGAUGUGGAGGUGAUGAUGAGGAGGAAGCUGGUUUGAAGGUCACCAGUGGUGCUCUCUGGCAGGACCAACUACCUGCUGAGGUUUCUGCCCUGGGGGAGGUACCACCUGACCUUGAUUACUUUUAACAGCAUCCGUCCACAGCCAACCCUGUAAACCCUGAAGAUGGACGAUGCAGUCUACAGUGAAGAUGCAUCCUGAAACUCUGCAGACCAUCCUGCAAGAUGUUCCAAUCACCACCCAGAAAGUUCCAUCCCCGCGUCUCAGUGGAAGCAUCUCAUCCAUGUCGACC